rnacentral:rRNA from 1 species
ACUACGGGAGGCAGCAGUGGGGAAUCUUCCGCAAUGGACGAAAGUCUGACGGAGCAACGCCGCGUGAGUGAUGACGGCCUUCGGGUUGUAAAGCUCUGUUAAUCGGGACGAAAGGCCUUCUUGCGAAUAGUUAGAAGGAUUGACGGUACCGGAAUAGAAAGCCACGGCCAACGACGUGCCAGCAGCCGCGGUAAUACGUAGGUGGCAAGCGUUGUCCGGAAUUAUUGGGCGUAAAGCGCGCGCAGGCGGACUGGUCAGUCUGUCUUAAAAGUUCGGGGCUUAACCCCGUGAUGGGAUGGAAACGGCCAAUCUAGAGUAUCGGAGAGGAAAGUGGAAUUCCUAGUGUAGCGGUGAAAUGCGUAGAUAUUAGGAAGAACACCAGUGGCGAAGGCGACUUUCUGGACGAAAACUGACGCUGAGGCGCGAAAGCCAGGGGAGCGAACGGGAUUAGAUACCCCUGUAGUC